rnacentral:rRNA from 1 species
UGAGUCCUACGGGAGGCAGCAGUGGGGGAUAUUGCACAAUGGGCGAAAGCCUGAUGCAGCGACGCCGCGUGAGGGAAGACGGUCUUCGGAUUGUAAACCUCUGUCUUUGGGGAAGAAUAGAGACGGUACCCAAAGAGGAAGCUCCGGCUAACUACGUGCCAGCAGCCGCGGUAAUACGUAGGGUGCGAGCGUUGUCCGGAAUUACUGGGUGUAAAGGGAGCGUAGGCGGGCUUGUAAGUUGAAUGUCUAAUCCACCGGCUCAACCGGUGAUCGCGUUCAAAACUGCCGGUCUUGAGGAAAGUAGG